AACGAACGCUGGCGGCAGGCUUAACACAUGCAAGUCGAGCGCCCCGCAAGGGGCGCGGCAGACGGGUGAGUAACGCGUGGGAAUCUACCCAUCUCUACGGAGUAACGCAUGGAAACGUGUGCUAAUACCGUAUACGUCCUUCGGGAGAAAGAUUUAUCGGAGAUGGAUGAGCCCGCGUUGGAUUAGCUAGUUGGUGGGGUAAAGGCCUACCAAGGCGACGAUCCAUAGCUGGUCUGAGAGGAUGAUCAGCCACACUGGGACUGAGACACGGCCCAGACUCCUACGGGAGGCAGCAGUGGGGAAUAUUGGACAAUGGGCGCAAGCCUGAUCCAGCCAUGCCGCGUGAGUGAUGAAGGCCCUAGGGUUGUAAAGCUCUUUCACCGGUGAAGAUAAUGACGGUAACCGGAGAAGAGGCCCCGGCUAACUUCGUGCCAGCCGCCGCAGUAACAC
rnacentral:rRNA from 1 species